AGAGACUCAAUAAUUGAGCUAAACCUGUUUGUAACGAGGGCAUCUGUCAAUUGUUGCUGUUGGUGCACUUUGACAGAAGUCGAUGAUUGAUGUAAGUGUCAUCUGGCUAUGGAUAAUCUAUGUUGCACGGAAACGGAAACGAGUCUUGGUCGACAAGUCGGGAUACUCAUACCCAUAACCGUCCCGACAGAGCCUGAAAUCCAGACCGAAGCCAGGUAUGUCACAUCCCGACCUUUAAAUUUUUUACCUUGUUUACUAGCUUGGUUAUAAUAAGAAUUUUACCGUCUCCGUCAUUGAGAUUAUAGUUUAAUUGGUCCCUAAAGGGGUUUGGGGGACGGUUAUUUUCAGAGGAUUAUUCGUAGGAGAAAAAUUUGACGACGGUAAAAAUGGUAAAUUUUAGCUAGUAAAAAGUAAUUUUUAUUAGGGUAUUAUUUUUCGGGGUGUUUUAUUUUGGAGUGGGUUGGUAUAAGGGUGUUGGACCGGGUUGGUGUGAGGCCCAAACACCAUUUCUCCUCUCUCUCUCUCUUCUCCUCUCCCUCCCGACUUCUCUCCCGAGCUCUCUCUCCCGCCGAAGACUUCAGCUCCGCCUGCCGCCGUCCGGCUAGCGAACGGCCGCCACUCCAGCCUAGUUCGGAGCCCCGCCACCUCCUCUCUCUUCCCAGCCUGGGGUCCGCGCCGGUAACGUCCCCGAUCGGGAGAUUUUCUGCCGGAGAUGCCGGACUGUCUCUCGCCGAAGCUCCCACCUCCGGCCACCAUAGCUCGAGAUUUUUGGCUCAAAUUGUAGCUCUCAUCAAGGUUAGUGAUCUCUCAAAAGGAAUCGACUUAAUUCGAUCUUGGUAGGAAGAAAUGUAUAAUUGAAGUUUUAGGGAUUUAAGGAUGUUUUUGUUCGAUUGGCCUAGUUAAGCUUGGAAUUGGUGUUUGUGCUAGUUAGGAAAGUUGUAGAGUGGGUUGAGAGGAAGAUGCUGUCAAAAUUUCAUAGGCAUUGGAUGACAGGACCCACCCAGAAUUUCAUCCUGAAACCCGAGGUAAAUCCUGCGGGGUCCACCUUCAAAGAAAAUUUACCGAAAAUUCAGCAUAACCUUCCUUAAAAAUGGACGACUCUUACCUGAACAAUCCAACUUAACACUUCUAUAACUAAACAUCCAUCCUCAACACCUGGAGCCUUCCUGCUCCCCAAGUCCAACACAUCUCCCAAUAUUACAAUUACUCAACUAAACUAAACCCACAACAAACUAUAACCAACAUUAAUUCACUAACUGUUUAUCAGAGCAUAUCUAGAGUUAAAUGAAAAACAAUGAAUAAAGAAUAAGCGGAAGCAGCCUCUGACUAUGCCUCGACUCCAUGUACGCCCGACCUCACUUAGACUGAGCCUGCAAUUUGGGCAUUUAAAACCAAAGGGCCCAGGGGAAAGUAAUUUAAAAACGUUAGAGUGAGUGGACGAAAAUAAACAUAGGAUAAGAAACCAAAACUUAAAUACUUUUCCACUUUCCAAUAUGCAAUAAAUCCGUUGCAUGAAAAUGUUGACAAAUCUUUCAUAAAGAAAAUCCCAAGAAAACGGACUAGCCCCGCUAGUCAAAUUAAUGACAAAGAUAAAUAAUAACCUUCAUAGAAGAAGGUACCCAAAACAAGGGACUAGCCCCGCUAAUCAAAACGACAACAAAGAUUCAUAAAGACUUUCGUCAAAAGGAACAACAAAAAGAUGGACUAGCCCCGCUAGUCAAGUCAACAACAAUAAAUAAGAAACAUAUAUUGCCAUACAAGUGAACCUCCCAGACUCGGUUGCCUCCCAGGCAAUAGUACUCCCAUACUCCCUACACCUUCAUGUUAUGAUAACAGAGAGGAUGUAGGGCUUGCGUGAUGUCGUCGACUACAUCACAUCACCCGAAGGCGGAAAGGGCUUGAGUAACCCCACUUAAAAUGUGGAAGUUACAUCGCCUCGAAAGGCGGAACAACAUGCUAGCAUGAAUAAUAACGAUCCAACAAGUAUGGCAUAAAUAAAGAAACAUAAAUCCAUGUGAGUUUCCCCGAAACUCAUAAUUAAAGCAUAAGUACGAUUCCCAACCCUACUCAAAGAAUUCAAAGAGCAAAGAAAAUAAUUAAAUUCGAUGACGUGUCCCACACGUUAAAAUGCUCAAUGAAAUAAAUAACUCGUCUCAUUAACAUAUUUCAAAAAUUAGACCAUACUCAAAUCUUUAAAGAAAUCUCAAAUCCAGAGAUCAAAAGAAUAUCAUAAUUCAAAUACCGAAACUCUUACCCAAGCUCAAAUCCAUAAGUUUAUUAUCGAAAACAUAACCAUUCUGUCAAUCUCCAUUAAAUUCCAUAACCAAUUCAAAAGCUGAAAUUAUAAUUUAAGCUUGGAAAAUAUAAUAGACAACUUAUAAAAUCAUGCAUGCAUAUUAAUUAAAAUCUAAAAUGUCCACUCACUGAUUUAGGCCUAAGCCUGACGAAUUCCGAAUCACUACUCAAGCGCGGUUCCCUUCGUAUCCUGGCACAAUAAAUAUGCUUAGGACCAAACUUAAAUUCUGGAAAAUUAAACAUUUGAAAAUAAACACCCAAAUCUCUUCCGCUUAACCCACUACUCUAACUAGGGUUAAGCUCACCGGAUUUCCACCAAACUCCACCAUAACCUGAAUUCCUCAAUUCUAACAUUUUAGAAUAAAUAUCAAGGAAAUCCAACGGCAGGAUUUAUCCUAACAACCGCCAUUCUCUCCAAUCUCCGAAAAGUUCCAAACCUAACCAAAACUCAUCAAAAAAUUCCAAACUAUUCUUCAAUAAACUCCUCUUAUUAAAACCAUCUAAAAAACAGGAAAAACAACCCUUAAGGGGCGGCGGCGGCGGCCGGCAGCCGUAUUCCGGCAAGGACCAAAGCUUCUCAAAUUUUAGCAGAAUAAUCCUCUCAUCAUGCACAACAACUUUAAUAACUAGCACUUAAUCCAAAUCUAAGGCUAACUAGGGUAAUCGAACUAAAACAUCUAAAAAAUCCCUAAAUUCAAACCCUAGACCGAAAAUCCUCCUACACUUCGAAUUUGAUAGUUACCUUCUAGGGGAUUGAUGCACCAAGAAAGGCCGUCAAGCUGAGCCAAACGUCUCCAGCUAUAGUGGCCGGAGGAGGGAGAUUCUAGCAGAAACUCCCCCCGCUGCCCAGUCGGCUUCUAGUCGGGUUUUCUCCUUCACGGCGGCAAGGCACGACCAUCCACCUGCCCAGAAUUACAGUAGAGCUAACGCUGAGUUGAACGUGACAGAACCCACCCCGAAUUUCACCCUGAAACCCGAGGUAAAUCCUGUGGGGUCCACCUUGAAGGAAAAUUUACCAAAAAUUCGGCAUAACCUCUUUAAAAAUGGACGACCCUUACCUGAAAAAUCCAAUUUAACACUUCUAUAACCAAACAUCCAUCCUCAACACCUGGAGCCUUUCUGCUCCCCGAGUUCAACACAUCUCUCAAUAUAACAAUUACUCAACUAAACUAAUCCCACAACCAACAAUAACCAACAUUAAUUCACUAACUGAUUAUCAGAGCGUAUCUAGAGUUAAAUGAAAAACAAUGAAUAAAGAAUAAGCAGAAGCAGCCUCUGACUAUGCCUCGACUCCAUGUACGCCCGACCUCACUUAGACUGAGCCUGCAAUUUGGGCAUUUAAAACCAAAGGGCCCAGGGGAAAGUAACUUAAAAACGUUAGAGUGAGUGGACGAAAAAUAAUCAAGUAACUGAUCGCGACAUAACUACCUAAACUUAAUUACUUUCCCAUUUUCCAAUAAUCAAGAAAUUUGUUGUAUGCAAGUGUUGAUAAAACUUUCAUAGAGAAAAUUCCAAGAAAACAGACAAGCCCCACUAGUCAAAUUAACGACAAAGAUAAUUAAUAAUCUUCAUAGAAUAAGGUACCAAAAUAAUGGACUAGCCCCGCUAGUCAAAACUACAACAAUAAAUAAAGAGCAUAUAUAUAUAUAGCCAUACAUGAGCCUCCCAGACUCGGUUGCCUCCCAGGCAAAAGUACUCCCAUACUCCCUACAC
rnacentral:lncRNA from 1 species